UCGCUAUUGACAGAGUACACAUCGAAUAAACUAAGACAAUGCUUAUUCAUUUCAAGCCGGAAUUCAUUUCUAUCAUCCUGUCGUCAUGGACCUUUUACAAAAUCCUCUACCCUCUCAUCCUUCCCUAUAUCCCUAUACCUACUACUACCUCCCUUGUCCAGUACAGCUAUCCUGGCCGGAACCUGAUAUUCGACCGGUACUCCUAUCACGAAGACACACGGGUGUUUGUCGUCUGCGACGAGGAGCCAAUCCACCUGCAAGGGAAUGGAUCACAGAAAUUCAUCAAGUGCGAGAUAUACCACGACGAUCAGGGGGGCCGCAAACACGAGUGUCCCAUCACCCUAACGAUGAGUCGUCGAGGCGCCGGUGUCAUCAGGCCCGGUACGAUGCAGGUCCGGCCCUUUGGUGAAGACAAGGCCAUCCUCAGCUGGGUAGAUCCGACCGUGUCGGUGACGUCGCCGAACAAGUGGCGACUUUUCGUCGUGCACUUGAGCGACUGUUCGCUGUACGAAGCACGAGCCAAACAGCUGAGGCAUCUGCGGCCGGUGAAUUUCGUCGUCUACGAGAAUUGGUUCGUCGCCAUAGUCGGCAGCGAGAAGCGUGGCACAAAGUGCUACCACGAGCCUUUGCAGAUCUUCAACGUGCCCAGGUGCUGGGUCGGCUUCAACGAUCGCCUCGACGUCAGCGCCGGGCCCUUCUUCUGGUUCAAACAGGACCUCGGGGACGACCGGAUGAUCGUGGCUCCGCUCCGGGACAACGAUCCCGCGAGCGGCCAUCUGCUCAUCCAGGCCGUCGAACUGCUCGGUACCGUGCUCACUCGAGUCUGGAUCGUCCCGCAGAGCGGCAAGGCAGUGCUGCUGCGCACGUACGAGUUACGGCCGAACACGACCGUCGCGAUCGAGCGGCAGUUCGGACGGCACAACGAGCGCAUCGUCGCCUACUCGACGAGCCACGGCCGCAUCGGCGUCUGCGCCAAGAUCACCUUCGCACCGGGCGAGGAUCGGCUUCGAUGCACCCAGUGGGAUCAUCGCGGUCGGCUGCUGGGGACCGACUUGAUAAUACCGGUGAAAUACCGGCACCCGCGCGAGAUGGCCCUGCUGAAUCUGCCCGGCCAAGAGGGCAUGCUGCUUCUCGAGGCCGAGUGCGGGGACGCCUCGUGCAGAGGCAGCGGCGGCGGCGGAGGAGGAGGAGGAAAAAGUCAAUACUUCGUGUCGAAGAUCUACGCCCGCCACAUGGAGAACCGGUCCCACGUGUACGACAAGUACGAGUGCGACGGCAGGUACAAUCGGGUCGACGCGCAGCUGUUUCAAAGGGGCCCGCCAGGACACUACUGCAUCAGCCAGGUCUGCUACGAGGACUUGUUGGCGGUGGACGAUUUCGGGAACCGAUCGUACGAGGAUAGGUCGAGGAAGUUGAAGUUCCAUACGCAGUGCUUCUUCGAUUUGCUUAGCAAAGAUUCGUAUUUUCUUUAUUUCAAACGAUUUUUCAGUAAAUGGUUUAUUGAAUGAUUUCGUUUAAAUACAUGCAACACACACUCACUGUGUUUGAUUGAGAUAUUGUUCAUGUCCCGUUUGAUAUAUAAUUUUAUAUACUCUGACGACAAGUUUUAAAUUAAUUGUAUGUACAAGGUGUACAAACACAUUUUUAACCUGACUUCGAUUGGGAUAAAUAAAUAACUUUCGACUAUUCGAAAAAACGCAAUAUGAUACGACAACUAUUGUUCUUUUUUCUAGAACAAAAUGGGGGUUUGCUGCAUCAACCGAGGCUGCUGGCUGUUGACUGAUUUUUGCUAUGUCAUGAUCCUAGGGUAAAAUUUUUUCUCAGUGCAUAAGACGAUCGCAUCUACAAUUAGUUAUUAUAAUUAGGUCAAAUCGAUUUUUUUUAUGUCAACUUGAUGCUAUCUGUCGAGAGUUAGUUUGUAAAUACUCAAUUACAGAAGUUAAAAAAUUUCUUGAAGAAACUUUUGUCAAGUUAUAGUUUUAGAUUGGUUCAAUUAUUGUAAGGAGAAUAUGUAUACAAAGAUAAAUCGGCAACUUGAUUGUAAACAAUAUGAUUAUAAACUAUUUUGACAUAUUCCCUCAACACGUGUAAAUAGUAUAAUUAGUUUUAACAUCAAGCCAUAAUACCAGAAGAUCGAAUUAACUCAAUCAAUUUCCGUGAUAUUAAAUAGACUAAAUUAUCAUUUAAUUCAGGCACCAAAAUGGAUAAAAGCGACAAAAAAUACGUUUGUGAUAUUUGCCAGGAGGCAUUUACAUUGGAGUCAAGCAUGAUGACACACCGAGACAAAAUUCACAAUGAACGAAAUAAUUUUGCAUGUGACAAGUGCGAAGAGAAAUUUGAGUUCCGAAGUCAUUUGA
rnacentral:misc_RNA from 1 species